AUGGGAACCGGGCGAGGCUCUACUAUGCGUGCGUGGGUAGUGGCGGCGGAAGGGAAUGAGGAGGGCUUCGAGGAGAAGGGUUGCGCGUGGGGAUCGGCUAGGGUUACGGGCGCCGGUGGUGGGCCUCGGGCCACUUGGUCCGGCCUAACUGCAGGUUGCGGCUGGUGGGAGGCCCAGCCGGGCUCUUCUUUCUCUCUCUCUCUUAUUUUCUUUAAUACAAACAUUAGAGAGAAAAAAGAAGAGGGUGGGUUAGGGGAAGAAUUUCAGCAUGCGGAUAAUUUUCCCGGACUCAUAAAAAUGUAA
rnacentral:rRNA from 1 species